rnacentral:lncRNA from 1 species
CGGACAGAGAGAGUAUAACAAACAACAUCAUUCCAGCAAACUACAUAAACCAUUAGAUGAGGCAGCCGUAAGUUCCGACCAUUACGAUUAGAUGAGCUCUAGUCUCGAUCUAGCUAGACAACCUGGGCAAUCAGUUACUAUUUACCGAAAAGAAUGGUGAUGCUAGCUCCUGCGAGGACAAGGGGGCAGAGGACACUUCAGUAUUAUUACAACCGUUGCUAAAUAUUAGACGUUCAAACUUUGUCCUAAGUAAAACUUACUAUGAAAUAAAUAUACCAUAACGGAUUUAAUAGAAGUAAUUUAGAGGUAUAUAUAUGUCGAUAGAUUUUUCUAUAAACUCAGUCAAUUUUAAAAAAAUUUGACUAGGACAAAACUAGAACAUCUUAUAUUUAGGUUCAGAUGAAGUAUACUAUGUAAAACGAGAAAAAAAAAGGCAUUUGAAUAAGAAAGUAAAAAAAACAUUUCUUCCGAUUUAUGUUACUGAUGAGGUUAUCUUUUGUAUGACUAUUCAUUGAUGAAGAAACAUACCACAUGAAUCUUAAUUUUCAAUGAAACAAUGAGUUCGUACCGCCUUGGUAAGCAGUAGCUGGGUAAAGUAACUUUACCGAGAAUACAUGUUUUUGGCAAAUGUCAUACCCCAAAAAAGUCGAGUUUCAUUCAAACUUAUAGAGAUUUAGAG